rnacentral:misc_RNA from 1 species
UUGCUGUCGGUUUCAAGGAGUUGAAUCGAAUCGAAGGACGAUUCCCCUGGUCUUGGAACCAAAUUGGCGCGGCAAACAGGGCAAGUGGUGUGCGAGGCGAGCCAGGCGUCGAUGCAAUCAGGGUGGAAAACGUGGCUGCACUUGGGGAUUAAACGCAGCGUUUGAUCAUCUUCAAACUCGUUUAAACAUACGGCACACUCCAGUGAACCCUUGCCAAUUUUGUGG